UACGUAGGGUGCGAGCGUUAAUCGGAAUUACUGGGCAUAAAGCGUGCGCAGGCGGUUUUGUAAGACAGAUGUGAAAUGCCCGGGCUUAACCUGGGAACUGCAUUUGUGACUGCAUGGCUAGAGUGUGUCAGAGGGGGGUAGAAUUCCACGUGUAGCAGUGAAAUGCGUAGAUAUGUGGAGGAAUACCGAUGGCGAAGGCAGCCCCCCUGGGAUAACACUGACGCUCAUGCACGAAAGCGUGGGGAGCAAACAGG
rnacentral:rRNA from 1 species